rnacentral:rRNA from 1 species
AGAAUUUUCCGCAUGGACGAAAGUCUGACGGAGCGACGCCGCGUGGAUGAUGAAGGUCGGAAGAUUGUAAAAUCCUUUUAUGACUGAAGAAUAAGUAUGGUGAGAGAAACGCCGUAUGGUGACAGUAGGUCAUGAAUAAGCAACGGCUAAUUACGUGCCAGCAGCCGCGGUAACACGUAAGUUGCGAGCGUUGUUCGGAAUUAUUGGGCGUAAAGGGCAUGCAGGCGGAAUUGCAAGCUUGGUGUGAAAUACCGGGGCUUAACUCCGGAAUAGCAUUGAGAACUGCAAAACUAGAGUCACUGAGGGGCAAUCAGAAUUCCAGGUGUAGGGGUGAAAUCUGUAGAUAUCUGGAAGAAUACCAAUGGCGAAGGCAGGUUACCAGCAGAUGACUGACGCCGAAGUGCCAAGUGCCGGGAGCAACAGGAUUAGAGACCUGGUAGUCCGCACAGUCAACUAUGUGCACUAGAUGUCUGGUCGACAGACCGGGUGUCGAGCAACGCGA